UUUAAAUCAAUUAAAUCAACAAAAACUUAAUUAUUUUUAUGGAAAAAUCAACAUAAACUUUAUGAUUAAAAUGACUUCUUAAAAAUUCAUGAUUAAAUCAUCAUGAAUUUGAAAAUUCAGGAUUUUAAUGAUAUUUUUCUCCUUGUUUGCAUUAUAAUAUAAACUCAUAACGACAAUGAUUCGCUAAGUCCCUCAAGGCAAAGUCGUUUCAUGGUCUAUCUAACACCUAAAAACGCAUUGGCAAACAAUAGUGUGAAGUCCUUUCUCCUUGUCCUCUUCCCUUAUAUCCCCGCCGGAUUGAUGCUUCUUGUAACAUAAGCUUUGACAUUCUUGUAAUGUCCAUGUCCCUUUUUUGUUAUUAUAAUAAGUACCUUGACAAAGUUUGAAUGCUGCAGUCUCUGAUCCUCCUGUAAUAAAUACAUAAAAUUUUAGUAGUUGUGAUUUCAUUUUUAUUUUGUAUAUAGAACAUAAAAUUCAAAUAAACUCUUUUUCUUCGGGAGAAAUAUAACAGAAUUAUAAAUAUAUAUAACAAAAUUGAAAACAUUUUUCAGACCAUCAAAUUUAUGAAACAAAAAGAUAUAGGAAUUUUGAAACAUUUAUCUAAGCAAACCUAGCACAAGAAGGAUGA
rnacentral:lncRNA from 1 species